rnacentral:rRNA from 1 species
GUAGGGAAUUUUCGGCAAUGGGGGGAACCCUGACCGAGCAAUGCCGCGUGAACGAUGAAGAUCUUCGGAUUGUAAAGUUCUGUUAUUGGGAAAGAAUUGCAUAACUAGGAAAUGAGUUAUGUUUGACGGUACCUGAUGAGAAAGCCCCGGCUAACUAUGUGCCAGCAGCCGCGGUAAUACAUAGGGGGCAAGCGUUAUCCGGAAUUAUUGGGCGUAAAGCGUGCGUAGGCGGCUUAUUAAGUCUGACGUGAAAUUCCACAGCUUAACUGUGGAGGGUCGUUGGAAACUGGUAAGCUUGAGUACAGUAGAGGUAAGUGGAAUUCCAAGUGGAGCGGUGGAAUGCGUAGAUAUUUGGAGGAACACCAGUGGCGAAGGCGGCUUACUGGGCUGGAACUGACGCUGAUGCACGAAAGCGUGGGGAGCAAACAGG